rnacentral:rRNA from 1 species
UACGAAGGGGGCUAGCGUUGCUCGGAAUCACUGGGCGUAAAGCGCACGUAGGCGGAUUGUUAAGUCGGGGGUGAAAUCCUGGAGCUCAACUCCAGAACUGCCUUCGAUACUGGCGAUCUUGAGUCCGGGAGAGGUGAGUGGAACUCCGAGUGUAGAGGUGAAAUUCGUAGAUAUUCGGAAGAACACCAGUGGCGAAGGCGGCUCACUGGCCCGGUACUGACGCUGAGGUG